rnacentral:snRNA from 1 species
GUGCUCGCUUCGGCAGCACAUAUACUAAAAUUGAAAUUGUUCAGAGAAGAUUAGCAUGGCCCCUGCACAAGGAUGACACGCAAAUUCGUGAAGCAUUCUAUAUUUUU